UAUAACAGUGAUAUAAUAUUUUAUUUAUCAAUAAUAAUAGUACACCGUACGUGUGCGUGAAACUACUGAAACUGUGAAAAGUGAACUUCAUAACUAUAUUAAAAUAUUUUAUGACAAUGUUUAUAAUUUAUACAAGACGUGAUAACGUGUAUACUACAACUCGGUACUCGAAUUGAUAAAAUACUACAACCACUGAGUUAACAGCCGAAAUAUAGGAAUGAAACAAACUUAUGAGCAACAAUUACUUAUCUACUUACUCCCAGGAAUAAAACGUAAACAGCCGAAAUCUAAAAGCUGAUCCAGAGUGAAACGAACUUACGAUAGACAAACACAUACCUACAUACUCCCACGAAUUCUGGUAUUCCGUCGAGACCGAAGAUUUUAUGUUUACAUUAACUAAAAGCUGUUUCGUGGCGUUGGGAAAAUGGCAUCCACAUCGCCCAAUUCAUACCUAUGCAUUGCAAUAGCCCCAGAAGGGUAUUUACGAACCCUUGUGGCUAGUCCUCCAGAUUGAAGGUUGAUCGAUGGGAGAACACCUCAUCAUCGUAGAAAAUUAUUUAUCAGGAAUUUUUCAAUCACCUCGAGCAAAGUAUGGAAUCAAGACAGGAGUUAUCAAUAUUUAAGUAUGUCUAAAACCAAGGAUUCUUCGGGAGCCAGAACUUGGAUUUUAUUUUUUUGAUUCAACCUUAAGAAAGUGUCCUACAAGAUCUGAAACUUGGAUUUUUUUUUGGACCGACCCAAAUCAAUUUCCCUCCGGGAGCCGGGGAUCCCCUUUUCAUUUCUCCUUCUGAACUCUACACUUUGAAUAUUUAAUGAACUUGGAUUUUCCUUUGUUUCAACCUUAACAAAGUGUCCUUCGAGAGCUGGAACUUGGAUUUUUUUUUGGACCGACCCAAAUCAAUUUCCCUCCGGGAGCCGGGGAUCCCCUUUCCAUUUUUAUUUUUGAAUUUCACACUUAUAAUAUUUAAUGAUAAAAAAAUCAAAUUCAUUUAUUU